GAUGAAGAACGUAGCGAAAUGCGAUAAGUAAUGUGAAUUGCAGAAUUCAGUGAAUCAUCGAAUCUUUGAACGCACAUUGCGCCCGCCAGUAUUCUGGCGGGCAUACCUGUUCGAGCGUCAUUUCAACCAUCAAGCCCCCGGCUUGUGUUGGGGACCUGCGGCUGCCGCAGGCCCUGAAAAGCAGUGGCGGGCUCGCUGUCACACCGAGCGUAGUAGAUUUCAUCUCGCUCAGGGCGUGCUGCGGGUUCCGGCCGUUAAACCACCUUCAUAACCCAAGGUUGACCUCGGAUCAGGUAGGAAGACCCGCUGAACUUAAGCAUAUCAAUAAGCGGAGGA
rnacentral:misc_RNA from 1 species